GGAGUCCAGUAUCAAGGUAGCGGAGUAGUUAUUUUCCUAGACACAGCACAGAGUUUGCAAGUCUGAAGAAAAGAUUAAAAAAGGGCUGUCCUGACGUGGGCCUGGACAUGGAAGUCUUGUUUCCAGCCGUCCUGAGUCUAAGCUUGGACGGUCAGAAAUGUGCUUGCUUUGAUUCUGAUGAGGCCCACCUUUCCUUAGCUGCUCACGGUCAAGAUUUGGAGAAGAAGCAACAGUGGUGAGCUGAGUAAUUCAUUGGAUUUCGAUGAGGAGUUCUUGAGAAAACUGAUUACAGAUCCUUAUAACUUUAAUAUAAUUUGUCACAAAACAUCUUCAAAAUGACGAGGAUUUUGACAGCAUGCAAAGUGGUGAAGACACUGAAGAGUGGCUUUGGUUUGGCCAAUGUGACUUCGAAGCGACAGUGGGACUUCUCUAGACCUGGCAUCAGGCUCCUUUCUGUGAAGGCACAGACAGCACACAUUGUUCUGGAAGAUGGAACUAAGAUGAAGGGCUACUCCUUUGGCCAUCCCUCCUCGGUUGCUGGCGAAGUGGUUUUUAAUACUGGCUUAGGAGGGUACUCGGAAGCACUUACUGAUCCUGCCUACAAGGGGCAGAUCCUCACCAUGGCCAACCCUAUCAUUGGGAAUGGUGGGGCCCCUGAUACAAC
rnacentral:lncRNA from 1 species